GGCUGCAUCUCAGGCUGGAGCCCCUCUCCAGACCCUGAACACAGCUGCACGGGAGACCAAGUCCUGCUCUGCAGAGAACUCAUCCUCCUUCCAGGACAAGGACCCUCAGUGGGAGUCAAGCCGUGGAUCUGCUGCACACGGCUGA